UGAGAGUAGUGACAGGAUAACAGCAGGAAAUGGAUUCUCCCCUCUUAGCCUCCGGAAGGGACCAGCCCUGCUGACACCUUCACUUUAGCCCAUUGAAAAUGAUUAUGGACGUCUGACCUCCAGAACCGUUCGAAGAAAGAAUAUGGCUGGAUGCAGCUCUUCCAGUGGUUAUACACACUACGUGGAGGAUGUGAGAGGAACUGGGAAACAGACCAGAUACAACCUAGAUCCGCAUCAUACCUGUCCUUCCACAUCUGAAAGACCAAGGGACUCUGGAGAAGUCUUAAUAUUCAAACCCCAAAGGGGACAGAUUCUACAACAGCACAUUAACUCCUUUCUGUUAAGAUCUUGGGCAGAAGAGUGGACACAGAGGUUCAGAGGCAAGAUGUUGGUGAACAUAACUACGGGGAUUUUCUGCUGGUGCAACAAAGUGCAAGUCCCCCUCCCCUUUGGAUCUAGGAAAAUCCUCACAUGAUG